UACAGAGGGGGCUAGCGUUAUUCGGAAUUAUUGGGCGUAAAGGGCGCGUAGGCGGCCAUGCGUGUCUUCCGUGAAAUCCCUCGGCUUAACUGAGGACGUGCGGAAGAAACUGCAAGGCUCGAGUCCGGGAGAGGGGGGUGGAAUUCCCAGUGUAGCGGUGAAAUGCGUAGAUAUGUGGAGGAACACCGAUGGCGAAGGCAGCCCCCUGGGAUGUGACUGACGCUCAUGUACGAAAGCGUGGGGAGCAAACAGG
rnacentral:rRNA from 1 species